rnacentral:lncRNA from 1 species
GUAUUCAUAAGGCGGUGGUGGAGAUGGAGAUGGUGGGGGGGGGGACUUGUAUUCAUAAUGAGGCUUGGGAGAUGGAGGCGGUGGGGACUUGUAUUCAUAAGGUGGUGGUGGAGAUGGAGAAGGUGGUGGGGGAGACUUGUACUCAUAAUGAGGCUUGGGAGAUGGAGGCGGUGGGGACUUGUAUUCAUAAGGUGGUGGGGGAGAUGGAGAAGGUGGUGGGGGCGACUUGUACUCAUAAUGAGGUUUAGGAGAUGGAGGUGGUGGUGACUUAUAUUCAUAAGGUGGGGGUGGGGAUGGAGAAGGUGGGGGGGGAGACUUGUACUCAUAAUGAGGUUUAGGAGAUGGAGGUGGUGGUGACUUAUACUCAUAAGGUGGUGGAGGAGAAGGAGAUGGUGGUGGUGGUGACUUAUAUUCAUAAGGUGGUGGUGGGGAUGGAGAAGGUGGUGGGGGAGACUUGUACUCAUAAUGAGGUUUAGGAGAUGGAGGUGGUGGUGACUUAUACUCAUAAGGUGGGGGAGGAGAAGGAGAUGGUGGUGGUGGUGACUUAUAUUCAUAAGGUGGUGGUGGGGAUGGAGAUGGAGGUGGAGGAGACUUGUACUCGUAAUGAGGUUUAGGAGAUGGUGGUGGGGGUGACUUGUACUCAUAAGGAGGUGGUGGAGAAGGAGAAGGUGGAGGUGGUGACUUAUAUUCAUAAUGAGGUUUAGGUGAUGGUGGAGGUGGUGAUUUAUACUCAUAAGGAGGUGGUGGAGAAGGAGAAGGUGGAGGUGGAGAAUAGUAAGGAUAAGCAUCUCCUGAUACUGAACUUACACUACUUGAAACAAAAACUACAGCCAACGCUAUGGCCAAGUGAGGCCAAAGACGACCCCACCCGGGGCCGCCGCCGGAACUUCUCAUUUCUU